rnacentral:lncRNA from 1 species
UGAGCAUUGCAUUAGUACCAAGUCUAACGGCUAGUUUCCCAGGAGCCCCCCGUGACCCCUUUAGUACUGGUUGGAGCCCCCAACUGGUACUAACUUCCCUCCUAUAAAUAAGGUGUAUUCUUCCUCCUGCCUGAGCCAUUUCCUCCAGGUUGGGCUUCAUCCAUUCAUGGUGAAAUAGGGGAGGAGCUGCCGGAUUUUUGACCAUUUCAUGGGGAUUUCACUCCUUCAAGUGUUCUAAAGGUUAUAAACUUCAUCCUCCCU